rnacentral:rRNA from 1 species
AGCAGCCGCGGUAAUUCCAGCUCCAAUAGCGUAUAUUAAAGUUGUUGCAGUUAAAAAGCUCGUAGUUGAAUUUCGGGACCAAUUUGUUGGUCGUGCCUCGGUACGUACUGGUAUUAUUGGUUUCUCCCUUCUGAAGAACCUCGAUGCCAUUAAUUUGGUGUCGUGGGGAAUCAGGACUGUUACUUUGAAAAAAUUAGAGUGUUUAAAGCAAGCAUACGCUUGAAUACAUUAGCAUGGAAUAAUGAAAUAGGACGUUUGAUUCUAUUUUGUUGGUUUCUAGGAUCGACGUAAUGAUUAAUAGGGAUAGUUGGGGGCAUUAGUAUUCAAUUGUCAGAGGUGAAAUUCUUGGAUUUAUUGAAGACUAACUACUGCGAAAGCAUUUGCCAAGGAUGUUUUCAUUAAUCAAGAACGAAAGUUAGGGGAUCGAAGACGAUCAGAUACCGUCGUAGUCUUAACCAUAAACUAUGCCGACUAGGGAUCGGAUGAUGUAAUUUUUAAUGACUCAUUCGGCGCCUUACGG